AUUAAUUCACCAUAGUUACUGUUUAUUUUUAUGAAAAAGACGUAAACAGUUUUGUUUUGUCUGCAAAUCGAUAGCCAGAAAUACAAAUCCUCCGAAGUUCGGAACAUUCCAACGAUGAACUCUGCGUGGCUAAGUUUGAUUCUGCUGGGAAAUCUUGUGCGACGCAAUAGUGAAACGGACCAAAAUAUUAACCGUUCAAUUUGAACUCGUUAUAUCGAAUUUAUCAUGAUCUAGUGAUGAGUUUUGACUAUCUGGAAUACUCCACAUAAUUUAAGGCAAGAAUCGCACGAAUGUGCAUAGGAUAGUUCGUAAGAAUCGCUUUAUCGGCUUCCGUGACAACGAAUAAUCGUAAACUUUUGCCGACGGAACUGAUUCUCCAAACCGAUCAUCUGCCAACGUCAGUCAGAUAUCGACAGCAUAACAAAUAUUACAAUUUCUCAGAAUGAUAAUACGGUCCGACAUACCAGGGUUGUUAAGAAAAUCGUCGGUCGUAUAGCUAACGGGCCUGCGUAUGCCAUACAUCUAGUAAUGACAAAUACAAAUAAUAAUACCCCUAAGUCCCAUACAAACGAACCGCCAAUGUUUGGUUUACAGCCUGAACAAGUAAGCCUAGCAAAUUACUCCCUUUUAUUGCGAUAGUUUGAAAAUGUUGAAGGAGAUCGUUUCUGGCAACGCUUUAUGCUAGUUGCUACGGUGCAAAACAAACUUUUUUGUUUAUGUUUAUCGUUGCUGUAUUAAACUGCAACAAUCAGUCUAAAUAUCACCGGCACUAGCACAAAAGAUGAAAAAUGAACACAAACACCCACGAAUCUACAAAUAUCAAUACAGCUAGUAGUAUAUUCAUGGUGGCUUAACCAUUCUAGAUUAUUGUUUAACUUACAUUUCGCUUGUGAUCUUGAUUCUCAGAUAAAAACUGUUUGUUUAUUUAUUUUUCACUAUAAUAAACAGUAACUAUGGUGAACUUGUUCUUACCCUUCAGUGUUGCUAGUUUCAUAGAAAACUCGUUAAAGUACAUUGUCACUCUGACAGUGUAUCAUGACAAUGUACCGCACGAUGCAAAAUGUGUCCUUGAAAAUUUGUCGGAGUACUCCGUAUUAUAAUUUGUAUUUGGUAAUGACACGAGUACCCAGAACAGUUAAACAAAUUACGUCAUUGGCCUGUGUUGGAUACUGACUAUGAAGUAACUGGAUAACCGAAAAUUCUAGUGCAUUCCUACCGGUUGAUGAACCCUUCGAGUGAAUCCAUACAUUCGGAAUGUGAAACAAACGAUUGAACAGGAAGAUCCGGUGGAAGCUUCAUGCAACCAUUUAUUCAAAAAAGUAAAGGCGGUGCGUGCCAAAUCUACAUGACUGUUAAGGUCAUUGGUAUGGCUGGCUAAAACGAUAGUGUUCGCUACAAAGAAAUUAUCGUUGAAGAUUAUUACUGUUAAUGCAAUGUUUAGUGAUUAGCUGUAAUCGUUUUAAGGACACUUCUCGUUUUGAUUUUCCUCCGAAGUGCUUGGUCGUACCGUCGUUAUUACCUGCUAACCCAACUAACUCGUCAAGAAUUUGAUUCGGAGUUCAGUAUAAUCUUCAAAUGGAUUCCGAAUCAAACACCAACCGAUUCCGAACCGAUCCGAGUCGGAAUCGAUUGUUGCAUCUGGUUCGGAAUCCGUUUGGAAAUCAUACUUCCAAAUCAAAUUCCAUACGAAUUGAUUGGAAAAGGGGCUAAAGGAGAUGAAGACAUUUUGUAUUUCAGUCAACUCCUGCAAAAUGUGAUAAUUUCUUUAGUGAGUGAGAAAGUUCGUUCGUUACACGUUACAAGUAUUGUUGUAUUAAAAAUAAAGAAUCCGUUCCAUAAUACGAUCGAAUUUAAUCAUUCAAGCACUACCGAAAACUAAUUGUCAAAGCUAGGUGCCUUGGUCUAUUAUUUGAAUCGACAAUACUUGCAAACCGGUGAUGAUUGAGGUGGCCUAAAGUGAAUCAAGUCUAAUAAAGACAUGAUCCCAAGAUCCAACGAUAGUGUUCUGUAUUAUUCCAAGUUUUAAAAUUUCUUCAUUGAACGUUGCGAUCAAAUAGGGAUUUUAUGGCAUCAUUUUCUAUUAGAAGAGAUGCCCCAAAACUAUUCCAGAAAUCACGUUCACUUUCAAUAUAAAUGAAAUCAACUGUUAAACCGGCAAUUAGUUGCGUAGUAUGUACAUAAAUCUGUUCUGCUCUUCCAGAAAUAAAUGUUUUAUUCUGUGAAGUAGAAAAUAAGCGGUUUACUGACACACUCAGCAGAACCACUAGCGGGAUUUUCAGAAAGCAAAAGAAUACAUAAUAUUUUCCCUGCUAGAGCGUACGGUUAUAUCAUGCUGUACAUUCGACUCAUUCAGCCAUAAUGUUACGAUACAACCAGAAUCAUGAGGUUUUCGAUCUCUGCGAUUAUUAAAUACUGCAUAACUGGUAUUCAGCAUGCAAUACAUAAAGUCAGGAAAACAACAAACAAACUAGUUCCGUAUCAUGGCAACUUCAAUAUUGCGUUGCCAGAUAUGUUUUUUUUUCUACCAUUCUGAUAUGUCAGUUCAAAACUAAGGGAUGGGCUAGGCCAACUUGUUCUUUUGGUGAACCAAAAAAAUUGCAUGCUUUUGUAUGGGACUUAGGGGUAUUAUUAUUUGUAUUUGGUUGUAUAUCUGGCAGCGGUGAGACAGUUGGUCACCAGAAUGUCUGCCAGCCAUAUUUUUCCAGCUGGCAGCGUUUUGUCAGCCAUCUGUCAGCCAUGCGUAUCUGGGGUUGUUUGAAGAUCCGUUCUGCUCGUAGCUAGGGAAAACGGAAAUUUCGAAUUACUCGAUUAUUUAAUAAUCGAGUACAAUUUUGAAACUAAUCGAUUUGAAUUUAAUCGA